rnacentral:rRNA from 1 species
GACGAACGCUGGCGGCGUGCUUAACACAUGCAAGUCGUACGGUAAGGCCCUUUCGGGGGUACACGAGUGGCGAACGGGGGGGUAACACGUGAGUAACCUGCCCACAACUUUGGGAUAACGCUAGGAAACUGGUGCUAAUACUGGAUAUGUCCUCCUGCUGCAUGGGGGGGGUUGGAAAGCUCCGGCGGUUGUGGAUGGACUCGCGGCCUAUCAGCUUGUUGGUGGGGUAGUGGCCUACCAAGGCGGCGACGGGUAGCCGGCCUGAGAGGGUGACCGGCCACAUUGGGACUGAGAUACGGCCCAGACUCCUACGGGAGGCAGCAGUGGGGAAUAUUGCACAAUGGGCGCAAGCCUGAUGCAGCAACGCCGCGUGCGGGAUGACGGCCUUCGGGUUGUAAACCGCUUUCAGCAGGGACGAAGCUUUUUGUGACGGUACCUGCAGAAGAAGCACCGGCUAACUACGUG